rnacentral:RNase_P_RNA from 1 species
GGAGUUGGCUAGACAGUCGCUCCGGUGUUAACUAAAUAAUUCUCCUGAGUAUUAUUCGGUGCAUCGGGGAGGAAAGUCCGGGCUCCAUAGGGCAGAGCGCCAGGUAACGCCUGGGAGGUGUGAGCCUACGGAAAGUGCAACAGAAAGCAAACCGCCUAAGCGAUCCAGUUGUGCAGUCGGAUCGCCGGUAAGGGUGAAAGGGUGCGGUAAGAGCGCACCGCGCGGCUGGUAACAGUCCGUGGCACGGUAAACCCCGCUCGGAGCAAGACCAAAUAGGAAUCCUGAGGUGUGGCCCGCACUGGAUUCGGGUAGGUUGCUUGAGGUAUGCGGCGACGUAUAUCCCAGAUGAAUGAUUGUCCACGACAGAACCCGGCUUACCGGCCAACUCCACCU